rnacentral:rRNA from 1 species
AGAUAUAGCAUGGAGCACACGAGGGUGGUAGGGGAGCUUACUGUUGUAGGUUGAAGCAAGAUCGAAAGGACUUGUGGACGAAGCAGUAGUGAGAAUGCCGGAAUAAGUAGCGAGAGUAAAGUGAGAAUCUUUACCGUCGAAAACCUAAGGUUUCCUGGGGAAGGUUCGUCCGCCCAGGGUAAGUCUGGACCUAAGCUGAGGCCGAAAGGCGUAAGUGAUGGACAACAGGUUGAAAUUCCUGUACUACCGUUAAUCGUUAUGAGAGAGGUGGGGACGCAGGAGGAUAAGUCAAGCGAUCAGCUGGAAAAGAUCGUGCAAGCGAGGUAGAUAGUCCGGUAGGCAAAUCCGCCGGAUGUUUCGAAGACGUGAUGCGGAGGGAAAACAAGUACCGAAGUGACAGAUUCCACACUGACGAGAAAAACCACUAUCCAGAUUAAAGGUACCAGUACCGCAAACCGACACAGGUAGGUGAGGAGAGAAUCCUAAGACGAGCGGGAGAAGCGUUGUUAAGGAACUCGGCAAAUUGACCCCGUAAGUUAGCGAAAAGGGGUGCCUCAAGAGAUUGAGGCCGCAGAGAAUAGGCCCAAGCAACUGUUUAUCAAAAACACAGGUCUCUGCUAAAUCGAAAGAUGAAGUAUAGGGGCUGACGCCUGCCCGGUGCUGGAAGGUUACGGGAAUUGCUUAGCGCAAGCGAAGGCAUGAACUUAAGCCCCAGUAAACGGCGGCCGUAACUAUAACGGUCCUAAGGUAGCGAAAUUCCUUGUCAGGUAAGUUCUGACCCGCACGAAUGGCGUAAUGACUUGGGCACUGUCUCAACAACGUACCCGGCGAAAUUGUAGUACUUGUGAAGAUGCAAGUUACCCGCGACUAGACGGAAAGACCCCAUGGAGCUUCACUGUAGCUUGAUAUUGGGUUUCGGUAUUUUUUGUACAGGAUAGGUGGGAGACUGAGAAUUAGUGGCGCCAGCCAUUAAGGAGUCGACGUUGGGAUACCACUCUAAAAGUACUGGAACUCUAACCUGAGACCAUAAGCUGGUCUAGGGACACUGUCAGGUGGGCAGUUUGACUGGGGCGGUCGCCUCCCAAAGAGUAACGGAGGCGUCCAAAGGUUACCUCAGCGCGGUUGGAAAUCGCGCAACGAGUGCAAAGGCAUAAGGUAGCCUGACUGCGAGAGAGACACCUCGAGCAGGUACGAAAGUAGGGCUUAGUGAUCCGGUGGUAUGAAAGUGGAAUUGCCAUCGCUCAACGGAUAAAAGCUACCCUGGGGAUAACAGGCUUAUCUCCCCCAAGAGUCCACAUCGACGGGGAGGUUUGGCACCUCGAUGUCGGCUCAUCGCAUCCUGGAGCUGUAGCAGGUUCCAAGGGUUUGGCUGUUCGCCAAUUAAAGCGGUACGCGAGCUGGGUUCAGAACGUCGUGAGACAGUUCGGUCCCUAUCUGUCGCGGGCGCAGGAUAUUUGAGAGGAUCUGUCCUUAGUACGAGAGGACCGGGAUGGACGAACCUCUAGUGCACCAGUUGUCAUACCAAUGGCACAGCUGGGUAGCCAAGUUCGGCAGGGAUAAACGCUGAAGGCAUCUAAGCGUGAAACCCACCUCAAGAUGAGAUAUCCCACUAGCAAUAGGUAAGACCCCAUGUAGACUACAUGGUUGA